CAGGGAUGGCAGUGCAUGGUGAGUCCUCAGUGGUCAGGAGCUAUUAGUACCAUUGCUAGCCUGUUCUUCAGGUUCUGACUCACCCCUCCUGUGCUUCUAACCUGUGACUUCAGAGUCCUGCCCAGGGGCAGCCACUUUGUUAAAAAGGGAAAUUGUGACCUAGAUGUGCUAGAGCCCUUGCCUUCUUAAUGCAUAGGGCAGUUUGGGGUGGGGUGUGUAUGCAGUCACCCAUAGGUGUUACUGAAGGACUGCAUUCAGGACAGUAGACAGGUUGAAUCUGCUCCCUGCUGAGCUCAGUGGAGGGUAACUGGUGAGAGAUAGACCUCUUUCCUGAUGGUUAUUUGCCUUUCUCUUCCCCCUUAACUCCCUCUUCUUCCCAAAAUAAUGCCCAGAAAUGCAUUGAUAUUCUCAUCGAAAAAGAAUAUUUGGAGCGAGUCGAUGGUGAGAAGGACACCUACAGUUACUUGGCUUAACCCAUCUAGCAGGGUCUCCGUGACCCACGAGCAGAUAGUUCCAGUGAAUAAAGUGGAAACAACUCGAGUUCAUAGCAGCCAGCCUGCCACCAUUUGGACCUUCCUUUUUAAAGCUGAGACCACAGUUUCCACCAGCUGGUCUCAAGCUACAGCAGGACUGCUCAGGACUGACACAUUUCAGUCUGUAAACAGACGCCAAUGCCAUUUACCCUAACUCACAGACAGAGGGGAACCGAACCUUCCAUGCUGAGGCUGCAUGCUACCGCACUUAAAUCAAUACAUUGGCUCCCUGGUUAACAGCUGUCGUCUGAGGCAGCACACGAGAGCGAGUCUGAAUGGACCCACGUGUAAUCUGCUAUGAAAACCAUUUGUAUAGUGUGUUUCAUUUUUUUAAUGUGUGAAAAUAAAGAAAAUUAAAGGAUUUCUGUACAAGUUGCAUUUGGUUUUGUUUUAAGUUUUACUAAUUUCUAUUAUGUAAAUAAAAGAUUUAAUGAUUGUG
rnacentral:lncRNA from 1 species